rnacentral:snRNA from 1 species
GAAUUGCAGGGGAUUUGGCCAUCAUCCCAUUGAUUGAGUUGGUUCAGCUGAUCAGUUUAUUCAGGUGGGUGCUCCUCCCCCCUUCACCGUUCAUGUGUAUCCAUCCUAAAACUGUACCCUUGGUGGAAGAGGACAACCAUCCCAGAUAGAAGGAUUAUGCCAAUCUUUGGUCAAGGAUGUAUAAUAUUUGAGUUCUCCUCGUGAAACCUCUCAGCAAAGUUAUAGGGAAGAGUUCUGAUUUCCAGCCAAAUUCUGACUAGGAAUUUAAGACAGGAAUACUAUCUGGGGUUGAAAAUGUGGGUUCCCACAUUUU